ACAGAUAUCCACAGAUAUUUAUGCAAGUAUUAAAUACAUGCGCAUGCCUUACAAAUGCAACUAUGCAAAUCAUGCAACUCAUGCAAGUAGAUUAAUUAAUUCUACUCUCUAUCACUUGCCAUUCUUUAUUCUUUGCCAUUCUUUGCUAUUUGCUAUUCUUUAUUACUAGUCGUUCUUUAUUCUUGACAUUCUUUAUUCUCGACAUUCUUUAUUCUUGACAUUCUUUAUUCUCGACAUUCUUUAUUCUUUUCUAAGGUUACAUUUACCUUAGCCAACUAUGCCACUCGACUCGGUCUUGAGUCAAUCAUCUGCGGAUAAUCCGCGCUCUAUCAGGCUCGAGGUGAAGGAACUCUCACAUACACCUCAGCCUUCAAUCCACAAACCACAUCGCCCAAU
rnacentral:lncRNA from 1 species